UGACCAUAUCAUGUUGAAACACCAGUUCCCGUACGAUCACUGAAGUUAUACAACAUCAAGCCUAGUCAGUACCUUGAUAGCUGACUGCUUCGGAAUACCGAGUGCUGUAAG